UUCGGAAGGGGAAGAAGAAGCCAAGGAGAUGUGACUCGUGAGAAACUCAUGUCUAAACAAUUCAUGCCUUCUUCUCCCACGCAACUUUCACACGCCUCUCUCUGCUCUCUCUCCCCUCUCUCUCUCUCUCUCUCUCUCUCCCUCUCUCUCUCCGCUCUCUCGCCUCCUAUCUCUCUCUCUAUAUAUAUACUUUGCGUGUAUGUAUACUCCAUAUAUGCUUAUCUGAGUAGUUAUCAGAUCUCCUUGUAUUUGAGUUUCGCGCUGAAACCUAAACACCUUCUCUCUUACUGGUACUUCUCCUCUGUUUUUCGCUCAAUAUUUUACAUAUUUGUGUUGACUUGUUCAUUUUGUAAAUAUUCUGCUACUUAUCCUCUCUGCUAAUGUUUUGUUCUCACUAGCGUUUUGUUUUGAUUAAGAUAUUUAUGUUAACAGCAAUAUCUGUAUGUUUGCUGGAGAACUGAGCUAAUCACUUCUUUCAAUUAGGUCUUUAAUACUAUAUCAAAUACGACGUCUCCUGUUUUUUACUCUCUGUGUGUGUGUGAGGGAGGGAGG
rnacentral:lncRNA from 1 species